UUGGUACUUGGAGAGAGGUGGUCCGUGGCGCGUUCGCUUUAUUUAUGGCGCACAUUACACGGUCGACCUCUUUGCAGUAUCUAAUC
ensembl:miRNA microRNA 323a